GAAUAUUGCACAAUGGGCGAAAGCCUGAUGCAGCGACGCCGCGUGAGUGAAGAAGGUCUUCGGAUCGUAAAACUCUGUCCUUGGUGAAGAAAGAAAUGACGGUAGCCAAGGAGGAAGCCCCGGCUAACUACGUGCCAGCAGCCGCGGUAAUACGUAGGGGGCUAGCGUUGUCCGGAUUUACUGGGCGUAAAGGGUGAGUAGGCGGUUACAUAAGUCAGAUGUAAAAGGCUAAGGCUUAACCAUAGUAUGCAUUUGAAACUGUGUGACUUGAGUACAGGAGAGGUAAGUGGAAUUCCUAGUGUAGCGGUGAAAUGCGUAGAUAUUAGGAGGAACACCAGUGGCGAAGGCGACUUACUGGACUGUAACUGACGCUGAGUCACGAAAGCGUGGGUAGCAAACAG
rnacentral:rRNA from 1 species